rnacentral:rRNA from 1 species
ACUCCUACGGGAGGCAGCAGUAGGGAAUUUUCCGCAAUGGACGAAAGUCUGACGGAGCAAUGCCGCGUGAGUGAUGAAGGUUUUCGAAUCGUAAAGCUCUGUUGUAAGGGAAGAAUAGCAGUAGUAGGAAAUGACUACUGUGUGACGGUACCUUACCAGAAAGCCACGGCUAACUACGUGCCAGCAGCCGCGGUAAUACGUAGGUGGCAAGCGUUAUCCGGAAUUACUGGGCGUAAAGCGCGCGUAGGCGGUUAGGUCAGUCAGAUGUGAAAGCCCGGCGUCAACCUGGGAAUUGCACCUGAUACUGCCUGACUAGAGUACAGAAGAGGGUGGUGGAAUUUCCUGUGGUAGCGGUGAAAUGCGUAGAUAUAGGAAGGAACAUCAGUGGCGAAGGCGGCCACCUGGUCUGAUACUGGACGCUGAGGUGCGAAAGCGUGGGGAGCAAA